GACGUAGGGGGCGAGCGUUGUCCGGAUUUAUUGGGCGUAAAGCGCGCGCAGGCGGCCUGUUAAGUCGGGUGUGAAAGACCACGGCUCAACCGUGGGGGUGCAUCCGAAACUGGCGGGCUUGAGUGCAGGAGAGGGGAGUGGAAUUCCCGGUGUAGCGGUGGAAUGCGUAGAUAUCGGGAGGAGCACCAGUGGCGAAGGCGGCUCUCUGGCCUGUAACUGACGCUGAGGCGCGAAAGCGUGGGGAGCAAACAGGAUUAGAUA
rnacentral:rRNA from 1 species